UUUACCCUAACCCUGUUCCUGGAGAGCUACCCUCCUAUAAGGUUUUCACCCUAAUCCUGUUCCUGGAGAGCUACCCUCCUAUAAGAUUUUCACCCUAAUCCUGUUCCUGGAGAGCUACCCUCCUAUAAGGUUUUCACCCUAAUCCUGUUCCUGGAGAGCUACCCUCCUAUAAGGUUUUCACCCUAACCCUGUUCCUGGAGAGCUACCCUCCUGUAGGUUUUCAUCCUAACCCUGUCCCUGGAGAGCUACCCUCCUGUAGGUUUUCAUCCUAACCCUGUUCCUGGAGAGCUACCCUCCUGUAGGUUUUACCCUAAGCCUGUUCCUGGAGAGCUACCCUCCUGUAAGGUUUUCAUCCUAACCCUGUUCCUGGAGAGCUACCCUCCUGUAGGUUUUCAUCCUAACCCUGUUCCUGGAGAGCUACCCUCCUGUAGGUUUUACUCUAAGCCUGUUCCUGGAGAGCUACCCUCCUAUAAGGUUUUCACCCUAAUCCUGUUCCUGGAGAGCUACCCUCCUAUAAGGUUUUUACCCUAACCCUGUUCCUGGAGAGCUACCCUCCUAUAAGGUUUUCACCCUAAUCCUGUUCCUGGAGAGCUACCCUCCUAUAAGAUUUUCACCCUAAUCCUGUUCCUGGAGAGCUACCCUCCUAUAAGGUUUUCACCCUAAUCCUGUUCCUGGAGAGCUACCCUCCUAUAAGGUUUUCACCCUAACCCUGUCCCUGGAGAGCUACCCUCCUGUAGGUUUUCAUCCUAACCCUGUUCCUGGAGAGCUACCCUCCUGUAGGUUUUACCCUAAGCCUGUUCCUGGAGAGCUACCCUCCUGUAAGGUUUUCAUCCUAACCCUGUUCCUGGAGAGCUACCCUCCUGUAGGUUUUCAUCCUAACCCUGUUCCUGGAGAGCUACCCUCCUGUAGGUUUUACUCUAAGCCUGUUCCUGGAGAGCUACCCUCCUAUAAGGUUUUCACCCUAAUCCUGUUCCUGGAGAGCUACCCUCCUAUAACGUUUUUACCCUAACCCUGUUCCUGGAGAGCUACCCUCCUAUAAGGUUUUCACCCUAAUCCUGUUCCUGGAGAGCUACCCUCCUAUAAGGUUUUCACCCUAAUCCUGUUCCUGGAGAGCUACCCUCCUAUAAGAUUUUCACCCUAAUCCUGUUCCUGGAGAGCUACCCUCCUAUAAGGUUUUCACCCUAAUCCUGUUCCUGGAGAGCUACCCUCCUAUAAGGUUUUCACCCUAAUCCUGUUCCUGGAGAGCUACCCUCCUAUAAGGUUUUCACCCUAAUCCUGUUCCUGGAGAGCUACCCUCCUAUAAGGUUUUCACCCUAAUCCUGUUCCUGGAGAGCUACCCUCCUAUAAGGUUUUCACCCUAAUCCUGUUCCUGGAGAGCUACCCUCCUAUAAGGUUUUCACCCUAAUCCUGUUCCUGGAGAGCUACCCUCCUAUAAGGUUUUCACCCUAACCCUGUUCCUGGAGAGCUACCCUCCUGAAGGUUUUACCCUAAGCCUGUUCCUGGAGAGCUACCCUCCUGUAGGUUUUCAUCCUAACCCUGUUCCUGGAGAGCUACCCUCCUGUAGGUUUUACCCUAAGCCUGUUCCUGGAGAGCUACCCUCCUGUAAGGUUUUCAUCCUAACCCUGUUCCUGGAGAGCUACCCUCCUGUAGGUUUUCAUCCUAACCCUGUUCCUGGAGAGCUACCCUCCUGUAGGUUUUACCCUAAGCCUGUUCCUGGAGAGCUACCCUCCUGUAAGGUUUUCAUCCUAACCCUGUUCCUGGAGAGCUACCCUCCUGUAGGUUUCCAUCCUAACCCUGUUCCUGGAGAGCUACCCUCCUGUAGGUUUUACUCUAAGCCUGUUCCUGGAGAGCUACCCUCCUAUAAGGUUUUCACCCUAAUCCUGUUCCUGGAGAGCUACCCUCCUAUAACGUUUUUACCCUAACCCUGUUCCUGGAGAGCUACCCUCCUAUAAGGUUUUCACCCUAAUCCUGUUCCUGGAGAGCUACCCUCCUAUAAGGUUUUCACCCUAAUCCUGUUCCUGGAGAGCUACCCUCCUAUAAGAUUUUCACCCUAAUCCUGUUCCUGGAGAGCUACCCUCCUAUAAGGUUUUCACCCUAAUCCUGUUCCUGGAGAGCUACCCUCCUAUAAGGUUUUCACCCUAAUCCUGUUCCUGGAGAGCUACCCUCCUAUAAGGUUUUCACCCUAAUCCUGUUCCUGGAUAGCUACCCUCCUAUAAGGUUUUCACCCUAAUCCUGUUCCUGGAGAGCUACCCUCCUAUAAGGUUUUCACCCUAAUCCUGUUCCUGGAGAGCUACCCUCCUAUAAGGUUUUCACCCUAAUCCUGUUCCUGGAGAGCUACCCUCCUAUAAGGUUUUCACCCUAACCCUGUUCCUGGAGAGCUACCCUCCUGUAUGUUUUCACCCUAACCCUGUUCCUUGAGAGCUACCCUCCUGUAAGGUUUUCACCCUAACCCUGUUCCUGGGGAGUUACCCUCCUGUAUGUUUUCACCCUAAGCCUGUUCCUGGAGAGCUACCCUCCUGUAAGGUUUUCACCCUAACCCUGUUCCUGGAGAACUUACCCUCCUGUAAGGUUUUCAAAGGUUAGUGAAAACUUGUGGUGAAACCUACAUUACGGUAGCUCUCCAGGAACAGGGUUGGAGUUAAAACCUACAGGAUGGUAUCUCUCCAGGAACAAGGUUUGGAGUUAAAACCUACAGGACAGUAUCUCUCCAGGAACAGGGUUGAGCAGCCCUUGGCUGUGUGGAACUACAUCUACGCAGAGUAAGUCUAGGUGGAACUACAUCUAUACAGAGUAAGUCUAGGUGGAACUACAUCUAUACAGAGUAAGUCUAGGUGGAACUACAUCUAUGCAGAGUAAGUCUAGGUGGAACUACAUCUAUACAGAGUAAGUCUAGGUGGAACUACAUCUAUACAGAGUAAGUCUAGGUGGAACUACAUCUAUACAGAGUAAGUCUAGGUGGAACUACAUCUAUGCAGAGUAAGUCUAGGUGGAACUACAUCUAUACAGAGUAAGUCUAGGUGGAACUACAUCUAUACAGAGUAAGUCUAGGUGGAACUACAUCUAUACAGAGUAAGUCUAGGUGGAACUACAUCUAUGCAGAGUAAGUCUAGGUGGAACUACAUCUAUACAGAGUAAGUCUAGGUGGAACUACAUCUAUGCAGAGUAAGUCUAGGUGGAACUACAUCUAUACAGAGUAAGUCUAGGUGGAACUACAUCUAUGCAGAGUAAGUCUAGGUGGAACUACAUCUAUGCAGAGUAAGUCUAGGUGGAACUACAUCUAUACCGAGUAAGUCUAGGUGGAACUACAUCUACACAGAGUAAGUCAUCAGGGCUAGGUGGAACUACAUCUAUACAGAGUAAGUCUAGGUGGAACUACAUCUAUGCAGAGUAAGUCAUCAGGGCUAGGUGGAACUACAUCUAUACAGAGUAAGUCUAGGUGGAACUACAUCUACGCAGAGUAAGUCUAGGUGGAACUACAUCUACGCAGAGUAAGUCUAGGUGGAACUACAUCUAUACAGAGUAAGUCUAGGUGGAACUACAUCUAUGCAGAGUAAGUCUAGGGUGAACUACAUCUAUGCAGAGUAAGUCAUCAGGGAUGAAUGGAUGGAUAGAUGGAU